UUGCUUUUUGUGCUCAGUGAUUUAUUUCUUGUUAGAACAGUUUUUCAAGCUAAUUAAGAUAAAUUGUUUGUAAUGAACAGAAACCUGGCAUUCACCGACUAGCUUGAAGUCUGAGUUCUCAAUGAGUGAAAGAAGAGGAACCUUGAAAUUAAAUUGUCUUCAUUUCCUCGAAAUGCCUCAGCUAAAUGUCAUUUUAGAAGGAAAAGGAUGCUCAACAGACUGAACUUUGUGAUCCUUAUGAAAUGACACAUUUUUUCCUCUUAUAUAAAGAUAUUUCUGAGUCAACAUUGGUCAUUCCUUCUCCAAUUAUCUUAGUACAUAUGGAUUUUCCCUUGCAUACUCUUCAUUCAUCAAUGUUACAAUCUCAAAUACCAGAGGGAAUCAGAGAGCUUACCAAAGAUACCAUUUAUCUUAAAAGGAUGAGUGACCUAAUGUCUAGUGAAAAAUCAGAGCUAAGUGGAAAUAGGUGGUCUACAGAUUCAUCUGUUGGAAUAAAAUAUAACACUAGUUGGAGAAAGUUGAA
rnacentral:lncRNA from 12 species